ensembl:lncRNA
AAACCCCCUACACCCCACCUGACCUCACAUGCGCCCCCUGCAGUGUCUGCAGGAUGCUAGCCUGAGUCCCUGCCCUCUGAGCCUCACACACAAGCCUCUCUCCUCAGAGCCCACAGAGGACAAGAGCCACCUUCUGCCUGUAGUGAUAGGGGCACUGCUUGGUUUCCUGGUGACUACUACUCUCCUUUUCCAUCUACAUUUCCAGAGGAAAUCAGAUUUAGUACCUUGGAACAUCUCUGGAGGGCAAGGUAUAUCCCAAUUCCACCCUGAGAUGAGGCCAGUACAGCCCCAGAGGUCCUUGGCGUGGAGAGCCAGGCCACAGAGAGGACACAACGGCAGGGGACUCAUGUGACUGAGAGCUGCCCACAAGUCCCCUGAGGGCCAGCUGUGCAGUCAGCACCUGCGCACAGCGAGCAAGAGCCUUGUGCCUCCCUGGGGGAGACUCUGCCACCAUCCUCGGGUUUAACUGUGACAGAUGGCUCUCAAUUUGGUUAGCAGGGUGAAGAGAUGUAGACUCAGCCACUCACACUGUCAGAAAUUGUGAAUCUGCUGCCCAGUGAAUCUUUAUGCCAGGAGAAGAUUUGAUUUCCCUCAACAACAUCGUUGAAUAAUGUCAACUGAUUAUCUCACCCUCUUUACUUUGGUCACAAGGAGACCGAAACCUGAGCUUUCAACCACUUUAACAAUGGGCAGAGCCUUCUGGAAUGCAUGUCAUGUUCUCAUGCCUCUCCUGGUUUUGUUUUUCUAAUGCACCCCAUUUCUUCACAUUUAAUCAUUCCACCUACAUUUAAAUCUUGAUUGUCAUAUAUGUUGUUAUCAUCCACCUCAUGAGGCCAAUGUAAAUCAACAAAUUAAACAUAAUAAUGUAGUGGAAGUAGUUCUAAUUGGA